UUCCUACGGGGGGCUGCAGUGGGGAAUUUUGCGCAAUGGGCGAAAGCCUGACGCAGCAACGCCGCGUGGAGGAUGAAGGUGCUCUGCAUUGUAAACUCCUGUCGGCCGGGAAGAAUCGGCGGGGUGCUAAUCAGCCCCGUCUUGACUGUACCGGCAAAGGAAGCCCCGGCUAACUCCGUGCCAGCAGCCGCGGUAAUACGGAGGGGGCAAGCGUUACUCGGAAUUAUUGGGCGUAAAGGGCGCGUAGGCGGUCUCGGGCGUCGAGGGUGAAAUCCCCGGGCUUAACCCGGGAACUGCCUUCGAUACGGCGGGACUUGAGUCCGGGAGAGGGGAGCAGAAUUCCCAGUGUAGCGGUGAAAUGCGUAGAUAUUGGGAGGAAUACCAGUGGCGAAGGCGGCUCCCUGGACCGGUACUGACGCUGAGGCGCGAAAGCGUGGGUAGCAAACAGGAUUAGAUACCCUUGUAGUCCC
rnacentral:rRNA from 1 species